UACGUAGGGCGCAAGCGUUGUCCGGAAUUAUUGGGCGUAAAGAGCUCGUAGGCGGCUUGUCACGUCGGAUGUGAAAGCCCGAGGCUUAACCUCGGGUCUGCAUUCGAUACGGGCUAGCUAGAGUGUGGUAGGGGAGAUCGGAAUUCCUGGUGUAGCGGUGAAAUGCGCAGGUAUCAGGAGGAACACCGGUGGCGAAGGCGGGUCUCUGGGCAGUAACUGACGCUGAGGAGCGAAAGCGUGGGGAGCGAACAGG
rnacentral:rRNA from 1 species